rnacentral:rRNA from 1 species
GACGAACGCUGGCGGCGUGCUUAACACAUGCAAGUCGAACGGAAAGGCCCUGCUUUUGUGGGGUGCUCGAGUGGCGAACGGGUGAGUAACACGUGAGUAUCCUGCUCUCGAUUUUGGGAUAACUUCAGGAAACUGGGGCUAAUACCGGAUAGGAGCUCCUGCUGCAUGGUGGGGGUUGGAAAGUUUCGGCGGUUGGGGAUGGACUCGCGGCUUAUCAGCUUGUUGGUGGGGUAGUGGCUUACCAAGGCUUUGACGGGUAGCCGGCCUGAGAGGGUGACCGGCCACAUUGGGACUGAGAUACGGCCCAGACUCCUACGGGAGGCAGCAGUGGGGAAUAUUGCACAAUGGGCGGAAGCCUGAUGCAGCAACGCCGCGUGCGGGAUGACGGCCUUCGGGUUGUAAACCGCUUUCGCCUGUGACGAAGCGUGAGUGACGGUAAUGGGUAAAGAAGCACCGGCUAACUACGUG